rnacentral:rRNA from 1 species
GAUGAACGCUGGCGGCGUGCCUAAUACAUGCAAGUCGAGCGAACAGACGAGGAGCUUGCUCCUCUGACGUUAGCGGCGGACGGGUGAGUAACACGUGGAUAACCUACCUAUAAGACUGGGAUAACUUCGGGAAACCGGAGCUAAUACCGGAUAAUAUAUUGAACCGCAUGGUUCAAUAGUGAAAGACGGUUUUGCUGUCACUUAUAGAUGGAUCCGCGCCGCAUUAGCUAGUUGGUAAGGUAACGGCUUACCAAGGCAACGAUGCGUAGCCGACCUGAGAGGGUGAUCGGCCACACUGGAACUGAGACACGGUCCAGACUCCUACGGGAGGCAGCAGUGGGGAAUCUUCGGCAAUGGGCGAAAGCUUGACGGAGCAACGCCGCGUGAGUGAUGAAGGUCUUCGGAUCGUAAAGCUCUGUUAUUGGGGAAGAACAAAUGUGUAAGUAACUAUGCACGUCUUGACGGUACCUAAUCAGAAAGCCACGGCUAACUACGUG